UCCUACGGGGAAGCAGCAGUGGGGAAUUUUGCGCAAUGGGGGAAACCCUGACGCAGCAACGCCGCGUGAGUGAUGAAGGCUUUCGGGUCGUAAAGCUCUGUCUAGAGGGAAGAAGUGAUAUUUGGUUAAUACCCAGAUUUCUUGACGGUACCUCUGAAGGAAGCACCGGCUAACUCCGUGCCAGCAGCCGCGGUAAUACGGAGGGUGCAAGCGUUGUUCGGAAUUAUUGGGCGUAAAGCGCGUGUAGGCGGUUUGUUAAGUCUGAUGUGAAAGCCCUGGGCUCAACCUGGGAAGUGCAUUGGAAACUGGCAGACUUGAAUACGGGAGAGGGUAGUGGAAUUCCGAGUGUAGGAGUGAAAUCCGUAGAUAUUCGGAGGAACACCGGUGGCGAAGGCGGCUACCUGGACCGAUAUUGACGCUGAGACGCGAAAGCGUGGGUAGCAAACAGGAUUAGAUACCCUGGUAGUCCACGCCGUAAACGAUGAGUACUAGGUGUUGCGGGUAUUGACCCCUGCAGUGCCGCAGCUAACGCAUUAAGUACUCCGCCUGGGAAGUACGGUCGCAAGACUAAAACUCA
rnacentral:rRNA from 2 species